UUGAUCUCUCCAUCUCCUACAACAUCAAAAAGGCAUGGCUUCCUCUGGCAAUGGUACAAUUAAAUGCUCUUUAUAGAGAAUCAUUGGGAACAUAAUGUACAUGCCUGUUGAGUGUUGCACGUGUAUCUAAUACUGAAUACAAUGCUUUCCUAUGAUCUACAAUGCCACUUGAUUGGGUUUUACUCAGUCAGUGUAGGACCAGACUAGUGUUUAACCCUCCUAAAUAAACAUUGCCCUUUCUACAAAAUGGCAAUGUUUUACCUUGAAUGGUUAAACAUAUGGGACCACUGCACACAGAC